rnacentral:rRNA from 1 species
AACGCGAAGAACCUUACCUGGGCUCGAAGCGCAGUGGAAUCCGGUGGAAACAUCGGCGCCCCUUAAAAGGCUGCUGCGGAGGUGCUGCAUGGCUGUCGUCAGCUCGUGUCGUGAGAUGUUGGGUUAAGUCCCGCAACGAGCGCAACCCUUAUUACCAGUUGCCAUCAUUAAGUUGGGCACUCAGGUGAGACCGCCUCGGAUAACGGGGAGGAAGGCGGGGAUGACGUCAAGUCCUCAUGGCCUUUAUGUCCAGGGCUACACACGUGCUACAAUGGCCGGUACAAACCGUCGCAAACCCGUGAGGGGGAGCUAAUCGGAAAAAGCCGGCCUCAGUUCGGAUUGUAGUCUGCAACUCGACUACAUGAAGCUGGAAUCGCUAGUAAUCGCGGAUCAGAACGCCGCGGUGAAUACGUUCCCGGGCCUUGUACACACCGCGCAUA